AAUGACAAAAUUAUUAAAACAAAUGAAAUUAGGGUAUUUCCACAUACAGACAACGUUUUCAGGAGUCGAAUUAAGGCAAUGUGACAAACAACCACGCGUGAAUCAUAUUUAUUAGACAUAAAAGCAAUCUAUGUAUACAAAUUGAUCUGACAAAACUAUUUAGUGCAAAAUCACUUGUGUUAAGCUCCAAAAAUAAAUUGGGGUUCACACGUAAUAUGUCUCUGAGUCUGACUACUGUGGCCCUGAUACACAGGAUUUCCAAACAUGCCUUGCUAAUCCAUUUAUUUUUUUUUUUAUCUCACCUUUGCGUCUCCAGAAAUUUACAGAAUGUUUAUGUGGUAUGAUAAGUUGGCAGGGAAGGCACUGAAUCUCCAAGCUUUGAUAUUACUUGAAAUGUGGUUCUCUACAAGGUUGGUACGAGUCCUCUAGGCUCUUUAUCAUCUUCUGCUUUUGUCCAGUCUAAUUUAGGUUCCUGAAGCAUGAAAACAAAUAAUAGCAUGAAUCAAUAAAACCAGUAAGUGAAAAUGUGAUGGAAGCAUAUUGGGAAGUGAUUAAAAAUAUUCUUGUCAGUAAGAAAAUGUAGAACAAUAACAGAAACAAGCUUCUUUCGGGAUGAAAGAGGGUUUUAGGGUGUGGUGGUUUGAUUGCCACAGAUCCUUCAUAGUCAAAAGCCAUCGGGAAGCCAACAGAUGAAAAAUUAAUGCUGCUACUGAACAAAGAAUUCAGUUUAAUCAAGAAAUUCAGAGUAUUUCAUUAAUCUUUUAAACUAUUCUCACUUCUUCAGGUACAAUACUUGCAAUAUAAGCACACCUUUUUGCCAAAACACCAUGCUAAAAGAAACCAAUGACACAUGAUAUAAGUACUCAAUCUGCACAAGUUCCCAGCUCAGAAGAAUCUUAUGGAUUAUAAAUUCAUCAAAAGAAAAAAAAACAUGCAUAUGCUGAAUGAUAUCACUUGGCAUAUUUAAACAAUGCUAAUUGACACCAUAUACAUUUACACCAUAUACAUUUACACGAAAGUAUAGCUAAUAAUCAUAACUAAAAAGGCUAACAGCAACAUACAAGUUAAGCAUAGUUAAAUAGAAUCAUAACUCCUGUCCAUAGAUAUUGGCUAUUACAAUAGGAUCUAUCCACUCUUCGUCUUAGGGCCAAUUAGCACUGAUGUAAGAAACACAUAUGCAGACUAAAAAUCGCAGCAACAUGAUGCUAUCCAAAUCAGCAAUGAAAAUGCUGUAAAAAAACAUACCCAGUUUUUGUCAGCUAGUGAACUGUUAUCUCAACCCACUCCCAGCCUGCAAAGAAAAGAAGAAUGAUGAAUAUAUGAAAUGAAAUCAACCUUGUGGAUGUAAGAUGCUUGUCCAUCUUCUCUGGCAUUGCUUGUGAUAUGGCAUCAUCAGGGAAUCAAACACCCAAAUUGUUCCCUGAAGCAUAUUUGGAAGUUGUAGUUGCAUAACUCAGAGUGUCUUAGUCAUCUUUACUUGCAUUUGAGAUGGAAGUAUACUGCCAAAAGAAAAGGCAAAGUUAUGGACCCAAAAUCAUUCAGCAAGAGGAACCUAUUAUGCCAAGAAAAUCCAACAAUUAAUAAUUUAGUAUCAUAUAUAUUUAAUUCCAGGAAAAAGAUAUUGUGGGCUCUAAAAUGAGCCGUCCAUUUAGAAACUGAACUGUGCAAAAAAACAAAAUAACAAUAUGAAUAGUAAAUACUAGUAGUAAUAAAUUUAUUUACUUAAAUUAUCUUGCCAAAGCUUAAAAACUAUACUUAAAAAGCCUAAAACUUUCACUUAUCCAAAAAUGAUUAAAAAAAACUAAAAUUAGAACGAUAUCACAACUUCUCGCCUCUUCACUUCAAACCACAUUGUUUAUUUGAUAAUUACUAUAAAAAUUUAAGAGUUAAGAGAAAAUGGCUUAGUUUCCUAGAGGGAAAUUGAAGAGGAGCUAAAUUGAAAAAACCAAGAUAGUUUUCUGCUAAAAAAAGGUCACAUCGCUGUAUUUCAUGUGAAAAAUGCUAAAAAAGGCCAAAGGUUUUCAGCUGGAAAUACAAUGGCUGUUACACCUCUAAAUAAUGGCCGAUAACGGCCUUUACCUUUAUAUAACGGCUGUAAUGGCUUAAAGCAGCAAUUAAAAAGAAAAAUUCUUUAAAUAAUGUUGGUAACAGUAACAGCAAGUUAAAAUAAUUUAAAGAAUUGCUGUUAUUUAAAGAGCAGGCUCUUUUUAUAGCCAGAUGGAUGCAAAGUGUGCUGAAGCUAUAGCAUUCCGGGAAGCAUUGAGCUGGAUUAAAGCGUGUGGAUGGGAUCGAGUUCUUUUCGAAUUGGAUGCUCAGGUACUUGUGAUGUCAGUUAAUUGUGUUUUGUUAGAUGAUUUAUCGUCUUUUGGCCUUUUGGUUCAAGAUUGUAAACUGCUUCUAUCUAGUUAUGAGGAAGCAAAGUGUGUUUUUGUUCAUAGAUCUGCGAAUGAUGUCGCUCAUGUUCUAGCAACAUCGGCUCAUUCUGAGUCAGGUCAAGGAGUUUGGAUUGAUAUCCCUCCUCCUCAUAUUGUUUCUUUGUUCUCUUUGAAUUAAUGAAGUUUUCUUGUUAUUUCAAAAAAAAAAAAAACCUCUACGGUCAUCACCACAAGGAAAACCAGCUGUAUAUGUAUCUAGGAUAACAUGCUAAAGAGCUGCAUAAAUGACGCUAUUGUAAAUUUCAAAAAAAAAAGAGAGAAAUUAAAUGCACCUUAAAUGCUAGCACAAGGGAGCAAGAUAAUCAAAUGCAGCACAUGACAAACAGUGGUUUGUUCAGUUUCACAUCAGAGCUUCUGCAGAAGUCGUUGAAGGUUCUAUAUUUUUUAUUUUGCAAUAGUAAACACACUUAAGUAUAGAACACAACUUUCUAACCAUGAAACCAAAGAAUACUUGAAACAACCAUCAAAUUUUAGCAUUAUCUUCUCAUUUCUGUUAGGACUAAAUGGUUGACCAGAUAAGCAUUUUCUUUUCAAUUAAAAAUCAAAGGCUAUAUAUAUAUAUAUAUAUACAUAUAUAUAUAUAUAUAUGAAAAGCCCAUGAGUCACAUCAAUAGAACCAAAUAUCAAACAUCAAAGAAACAUGAUGCAAUCCGAAAUGUAUAAUUAAAUGUACAAGUAAAAGCAUAGCUCCAUGAUAAUCAAUAAACCACAAUUAAAGACAAUACGGCUAUGAUGAUAAAUGCAGACCCCAAAUAAUUAAGGAGAAAUAUAAGGAUAGAAGUAAGAUAUUGAGAGAUACAAAAGCAAACAUAAUAUGCAAGAAUGACCCCAUAGCUUCCUCCGGCAGAAGUUCAUUGGUUGGAUCUAACUUCCAAUUGUCUGCUCCUUAUGGAUCAGCCUCUACAUAAAGUAAGCCAUUCUCCUGAUAUUAUCCACCCACCAUAAUUAGAAAGAUGCAGACACCAUGAAAAACACAGAAGGCCAUCAAAAUAUAGAAAUAUUGAAGGAUGCAACUGGGGCCUGCAGGGAGUAUAUGGGGGGUUGAUUUUUUAAACCUUAGAAACAUUUGACUGGACCAUUGUGCAUUUCUAUAUGUUAUAUGUUGGAUUUUUAAACUGAAGCACAAAUCAACAAAACAAUUUCUAAGAAGAAAAUGCAUAUACGAUGGUGAUAUUAUAGAAACUCUUUUGAAAAUUUUAUUUCCCUCUUGAACUUUUAAGAGAGUUUCAGGAUAAUACAAGCAUUAUUGGCAUGCAAAGGAAUUUUAAUGAUGCUCUGUACAGCCGAUGAAAAACAUAAUACAGAACAAAAUGCAAAGAAUUAUUUACGAUUUUUUACCUUAUCAAAGCACAAAUUCCACUCUCCGGUAGUAGUUCUAGACCAUUUGAUCUCACAACAAUAGACAUUGCAGUAAUCAGUUCAACAUUUUCUCAUCUGGUUACUUCUUCCGCAGAAACCAAACAAGCCUUUACAGUGAAAUGCGGAAACUUCAAAAUGUUACCAAUGAGAAGGAAAAGGACCUUGAUAAAA
rnacentral:lncRNA from 1 species